rnacentral:tRNA from 1 species
GCGGGUGUGGCGGAAUUGGCAGACGCGCAAGAUUCAGGUUCUUGUGGCCGCAAGGUCGUGGAGGUUCGACUCCUCUCACCCGCA